rnacentral:rRNA from 1 species
AGGACGAACGCUGGCGGCGUGCCUAACACAUGCAAGUCGAACGAGAAAGUGGAGCAAUCCAUGAGUAAAGUGGCGCACGGGUGAGUAACACGUGACUAACCUACCCUUGAGUGGGGAAUAACCUAGGGAAACCUGGGCUAAUACCGCAUAACACCUACGGGUCAAAGGAGCAAUUCGCUUAAGGAGGGGUCGCGGCAGAUUAGCUAGUUGGCGGGGUAAUGGCCCACCAAGGCAGUGAUCUGUA